AGUGGGCCUGGUGGUUUAUACACAAGAGUAAUUUGUUCCGACCAUUUCAAAAACGAGGAUUUUCGCAAUCGCAAUUUGCCUUCACAAGGUUUACUAAGGGGUGUUGUACCAACUCAAAACCUUCCUGCUUCGAAGAGCAAUACCAACCAGCGUAAAAGCCCAAAGAAAAGACAACUGCACAGCUGUCCCACUGUAGAUGAGCCAUGCGAACUGAAAGACUUGUCUUUGGAAUCAGAAAUUCUUCCUGAUGCCAGAAUCCCAAAGCGUAGGAGGAUGAAUGUUGACCUCGAAAUCAAAUCACUGCAGCAGAAAUUACGGCGAGCCCAGAAAACGGUUUGUAGACAGCGGAGACUAAUACGGGCAAUUAGGGAAGAAAAAUCUGCUUUGGAGGAACAAG